AGUGAACGCUGGCGGUAGGCCUAACACAUGCAAGUCGAACGGCAGCACAGUAAGAGCUUGCUCUUACGGGUGGCGAGUGGCGGACGGGUGAGGCAUACAUCGGAAUCUACUUUUUCGUGGGGGAUAACGUAGGGAAACUUACGCUAAUACCGCAUACGACCUACGGGUGAAAGCAGGGGAUCUUCGGACCUUGCGCGAUUGAAUGAGCCGAUGUCGGAUUAGCUAGUUGGCGGGGUAAAGGCCCACCAAGGCGACGAUCCGUAGCUGGUCUGAGAGGAUGAUCAGCCACACUGGAACUGAGACACGGUCCAGACUCCUACGGGAGGCAGCAGUGGGGAAUAUUGGGCAAUGGGCGCAAGCCUGAUCCAGCCAUACCGCGUGGGUGAAGAAGGCCUUCGGGUUGUAAAGCCCUGUUGUUGGGAAAGAAAAGCAGCAUGUUAAUACCCCGCUGUUCUGACGGUACCCAAAGAAUAAGCACCGGCUAACUUCGUG
rnacentral:rRNA from 1 species